rnacentral:rRNA from 1 species
UUAACUGAAUCCAUAGGUUAAUGAGGCGAACCGGGGGAACUGAAACAUCUAAGUACCCCGAGGAAAAGAAAUCAACCGAGAUUCCCCCAGUAGCGGCGAGCGAACGGGGAGGAGCCCAGAGCCUGAAUCAGUGUGUGUGUUAGUGGAAGCGUCUGGAAAGGUGCGCGAUACAGGGUGACAGCCCCGUACACAAAAAUGCACAUGCUGUGAGCUCGAUGAGUAGGGCGGGACACGUGGUAUCCUGUCUGAAUAUGGGGGGACCAUCCUCCAAGGCUAAAUACUCCUGACUGACCGAUAGUGAACCAGUACCGUGAGG